UGCCCCAUGGCUGAGUUGGUUACAGCGUCCGACUGUUAUGAAGGGUUCCUCAGGGACAUCGGAAGGUCGUGAGUUCGAGCCUCACUGGGGCAG